GCAGAGGACACGGUCAGAAAUGGCCGUGUAAUGCACAAUCUCCGUUCCAAGUCGGA
rnacentral:ribozyme from 1 species